rnacentral:ncRNA from 2 species
AUGAAAGCCAUGGGAGAGCGAUGAAAAUCCGCCGAAGGGGUAAAAACUCUCAGGCGCCCAUAUAAUGGGCAAAGA